GUUUUCAAAAGACAGAUGGCCAAACUGAUCUCUAUCCAAGGACGAGCGGAUGUGCAGAAAUAAUGGCUGAGUGCUGAGUGAGCAAAUGUUCUGAUUUUGGUAUCUAUAAAUUACAGGUAAUUGGCAUUUUUCUACCAAGUGUGUGUCAGUGAAGGAAGUUCACCUUUAGGAUAAGUGAGGAAGAGUCCUGGAUGAAGUCAAAGGCUGUCAAUGGGGCUGUCGUGGUGCUGAAAGGACACUGAGCAGUAGAAGAGAUCAUGGAAUAGAAGACUGGAAACCUCAUAAAUCACUGCCUAAGAUAGGCAUGUAUAUCUUAAUUACCUCACAGAUUUUGUUUUGAAAGGAACAGUCAGAUGCUUUUCGGAGUCCUGAAUUACUUUACAUCUUGAGGUGGAAGUUGAAGACUCAGAUCCAAUAUCCCAGAGCCACAGCUGAUGCUGAACCCAGGAGUCCAGGCUGUGCUCAGGAAUUACUCCAAGAUGAGAAGCUGCCAUUGGUCUUCAAGCAGUCCCAGUGGCACAGCUAUAAGCAGAGGAAGGCAUAUCAAAUCUAUCUGUGUUACCUAUGAGCACACAAGGACCAUGGAGUGAAGGUAGUAAAGGCUCCAUGGGGAUUUUGUUGGUUUUUUUUUUUGGUAAACAUUUUGAGUAGC
rnacentral:lncRNA from 1 species